UUGACAGUUCCUCAAAAAGUUAAACAUGGAAUUAUAUAGUCCAGCAAUUCCAUUCCUAUGUAUAUACCCAAAAGAACUGAAGGCAGAGAUUCAGAUACUUGUACACCAAUAUUCAUUGGAGCAUAUUCAUAGCAGCCAAAAGAUGGAAACAACCCAAAUGUCCAUCAACAGAUGAAUGGAUAAACAGAAUAUGGUGUGUGUGUGU